GCUAGUGUAGCUCAGUUGGCAGAGCAGCUGACUUGUAAUCAGCAGGUCGCGGGUUCGAAUCCCAUCACUAGCUCCA
rnacentral:tRNA from 1 species